GCCCUACACCUUGUCCUGAGCUCAGCAUGUCACUGCGUACGGGAAGUGGGGGGCGGGGGGGGGGAGAAUUCACGGCCAGAUCCUCCAAGUCAGGUGCUUUGCACAUUAAAUCUUACUUGACCUCCAAGCAAAUGGCUGAUAUAGUGCCCAGGCCACAGACGAGGACCCAGAGAGUCAGAGAGGCAAAGGGUUUUCCCCCAGGAACAUAAUGGAGUUGGACACAGACGCUUAGGGUUCCAAGGUCUUAUCCCCUCUCAGUGAAGGUCAGCGGCGGGGAGAAUAAAUGUGCUGGGGGCUCAGGAAUUCUCGGAGUCAGGGUUGAUGAUGCCACUGACCUCGCUGGACUUAACAUUCAUUCAACAAAUAUUUGUCCCAGACACCAGAAGAACCAGGGGAAGCGCCGCCCCUAGCCCCAGGUGCCUGCCUAGGUGGAGGCAACACUGCUGAUAAGGUGGGACCCUCUCGUGGGGGCGUGGGCUAGAGGGUAGGCAUUGCCCAUAGGCUCUGGCUUGCUGCAGAGGUGCCUCUUGUCUGGUGAGGGGAGCACGGGUGGGGGAUGGGGCUGGCCCCAGCCAGGACAUCAUCUGUGUCACUCAGCAGCAGACUGACCGGCGCCUACUGCCCGGCCAGCACUGCUGACCCCUCUGCCUGCCCUAGCCAAUAUUUGAGGUCAGGAGGCAAGUACAGCAUCUGUGGGCAGGCCACCUGGCCAAUGGGAUUCCCCUCCGGGCCUUCUGCUGCCAUUCUGCUUCCUGAAGCCAGGAAGCCCAGUUCAGGGGCUCCACCAGGGCUCCCGUGGUCCUGCCUAUAGCAGGGAGGUAGCAGGACCCCCUUGUUUAGCCUCUGCUGCAUCCUUAGCUGCAGCAGGGAGCCUGCCAGGCAGGUGUGGGGUGGGUAUCUCUCGCCGAGGCCCCCUAGGCACUCUUGUGUCAGGGUGGUGCUAUCUGAGAUCCUGGAGGCAUCUCAAAUGGGGACCCUUUCUUAACCACACAGACAGGCAGGACAGCGGUGUCUUCCUGCAUGACAGAAGGGGAAACUGAGGCCCAGGGUGAUGCAGCCUGGGACCUCCCAAGCCAAGGUCCAAGCUCUUACCUCAGAUACAAACUCAUCUGGAAGCAUUAAAACAAUGGAAGCAGGUGAGAGCAGAGAGAUCCCGAGUGCAGGUGAGGUGGGGUCCCUGAGGCAGGCUCAGAAGCUGCUUCCCAAGGCAGGGGGUGCCCUGUGUGCCCUCUGAGAGCACAGCCUGCAGACAGAGUCCAGACAUCUCGGGCAGGCCUUUGAGGCCUUCGUGUCAAAGCCCAGUUCUACCACUUCCUAGCGUUAUACCUUCGGCCCGGUGGGAGUCCCUGGUCGCCAGUUGAUGGUGUCACUGGGGAAGUCCAAUGGUGGACCCCAGCACAGCAUGCGCUCAGCAGUGCAGCAGUAUCAUUGCUUAGCCCCACCUCCCUUUCCAGACUCUGCACCCCUCCUCAGGCUCAGAGCAGGGACUUCCCCCUGCCCCUCCACCCAGCCUCUCCUCACUCCCUGUGACUCUGCCCAAACAAGGUCUCCCCAUGGAAUUUGUUCAUUUGUCAACUCGUUAUGCAGCCGGCCAGCCAUCACUUCUUUUUUAUCCACAUUUUCUGAGGGCCUGCUGUGUGCCAGCUGCUGGACACAUGAAAACAUCGAAGACCCUAGGCCUUGACCUCCAAGAGCCCCAGUUUGGUGGAAGAAGCAAACAAGGAGACUGCAAAAUACCCUGUGUGAUGGGGAGGGUCGAGCAGGUCAGUACAACUACAUCCCGUCCUGCAUCCCCACCAUGAACUUAGACUUUCUGGAAGGUCCUUGCUUAUCCCAGCAUCCACACACCCUUGACCAGACCUGGUCAACAUUUGCUUAGGUCGGCCUGGCUGCUGGGGUGAGAAGAGACUGGAGAGAGACCACGAUGGAAGUCAGGAGGCCAACAAGGAGCCGGGGUAGUCCUCUGGGGAGAUGUGAUGUGGCUUCAGCCCCAGUGGCGACGGCGGGGUAGAGCCAGCGGGGUUCUGAACUGAGUGGUUGUGAAAUGAGGGAAAGAGGGACCCUGUGGUCAGCAGAAUCACGCCUCCCUUAAAGAUGCCCCAUCCUAACCCCUGUCACCCUUGACAGUGUGACCUCCACCGCAAAGGGGACUUUUCAGGCAUGAAGGUUAAGGAACCCUGAGACGAGGAGAUGGCCCUGGACUGUCCAGCGGGCCCAGCGUCAUCACAAGUGUGCUUAUAAGUGGAGGAGGAGGCGGGGGAGCCGAGCAGAUGUGAGGACAAAAGCGGAGGUCGGAGGGACGGGCAGCUGGCUUGAGAUGGAGGGGGAGCUAUGAGCCAAGGAGCAUGGGCAGCCUCUGGAAGCUGGAAACGGCAAGGGUUUUUCCUGGAGCCUCCAGCAGCACCCAGCACCGCUGCCACUCAACUGUAGCCCGGUGAGACAGUGUCCGAUUCCCGACCUCCAGAACUGUAAGAUAACACAUGUUGCUUUAAGCCACUGCAAUUGUGGAAAUUGUCACAGCAGCCAUAGGAAACUGUACAGGGGUUGAAGAUGACCUGCUGACCUCCGAGCUCACGCUGAAGCCUCCUGGAACACUGUGGGUUGUGAGCAGGGAUGAGAACACAGCAUGGAGAUGAAAGACGCAUCCACCGGGGAAGGCCCGCUGCCAUCGCAAUUUCAGGGAAGAUUCCCAGGCUGAAAAAAGAGAAAGUGGCCAGUGUGGCACAGAAUGCCCCAUGUCAAAGAAAUGGCACCCAAGCCAUCCGUCAGUCCCUCACCUGCCACACAGACAGCACCUUGGACCCAGCAAGAUGUCACUCACCACACUGAUGCUGUCCACAGGCAUCGCCUUGCUUUUGCGUCUCUGUGUGAGAUUUGUCAGCUUGGUUUGGCUCUGGGGCUGUAUCAGAGAUGUCAGCCUAGGAACCCACCCUGGUUUUGUGUCUGUACUAUUUCCACAGCAUUGGAAUAAAAGGCGUUUUAA